UGAUAUCUGGCCUUNGCAGGUCCGAGUUGUAAUUUGUAGAGGAUGUUUCGGGCAAGGCUGUGGUUUAAGUUUCUUGGAACAGCACGUCAUAGAGGGUGAGAGUCCCGUCUAGAACCGAUAGCCGCGUCCAUGUGAAGCUCCUUCGACGAGUCGAGUUGUUUGGGAAUGCAGCUCAAAAUGGGUGGUAAAUUUCAUCUAAAGCUAAAUAUUGGCCAGAGACCGAUAGCGCACAAGUAGAGUGAUCGAAAGAUGAAAAGCACUUUGAAAAGAGAGUUAAACAGUAUGUGAAAUUGUUGAAAGGGAAGCGCUUGCAACCAGACUUGCGUGUAGCGGUUCCCCCAGUCUUUUUGACUGGGCUAUUCCGUUAUAUCCAGGCCAGCAUCGGUUCGGGUGGUUGGUUAAAGGUCCCGGGAAUGUAUCCACCUCCGGGUCGACUUAUAGCUCAGGGCGCAAUGCGGCCCACCCGGACCGAGGAACGCGCUUCGGCUCGGAUGUUGGCGUAAUGGUUGUAAGCGGCC
rnacentral:rRNA from 1 species